rnacentral:rRNA from 1 species
UGCCAGCCGCUGCGGUAAUACGGAGGGUGCAAGCGUUAAUCGGAAUUACUGGGCGUAAAGCGCGCGUAGGCGGAUGAUUAAGUUGGAUGUGAAAGCCCAGGGCUCAACCUUGGAACUGCAUUCAAUACUGGUGAUCUAGAGUACAGUAGAGGAGGGUAGAAUUUCUUGUGUAGCAGUGAAAUGCGUAGAUAUAAGAAGGAAUACCAGUGGCGAAGGUGGCCCUCUGGACUGAUACUGACGCUGAGGUGCGAAAGCGUGGGGAGCAAACGGGAUUAGAUA